rnacentral:rRNA from 1 species
UACGUAGGCAGCGAGCGUUGUUCGGAUUUACUGGGCGUAAAGAGUGCGUAGGCGGUUUUCUAAGUUUGGUGUGAAAUCUCCCGGCUUAACUGGGAGGGUGCGCCGAAAACUGGAAGGCUUGAGUAUGGGAGAGGUAAGCGGAAUUCCUGGUGUAGCGGUGAAAUGCGUAGAUAUCAGGAGGAACACCGGUGGCGAAGGCGGAUCUCUGGGCCUUACCUGACGCUGAGGAGCGAAAGCAUGGGGAGCAAACAGG